rnacentral:rRNA from 1 species
UACGAAGGGGGCUAGCGUUGUUCGGAAUCACUGGGCGUAAAGGGCGCGUAGGCGGCUUUGUAAGUCGGGGGUGAAAGCCUGUGGCUCAACCACAGAAUUGCCUUCGAUACUGCAUGGCUUGAGACCGGAAGAGGUAAGUGGAACUGCGAGUGUAGAGGUGAAAUUCGUAGAUAUUCGCAAGAACACCAGUGGCGAAGGCGGCUUACUGGCUCGACACUGACGCUGAGGUGACGAAAGCGUGGGGAGCAAACAGG